UUGGCAAAGCAGUGGAAACGCUGUGACGCAAAGCUAUAGGGCCUUCUAAAAUGGCAGCCAGUUGCA
rnacentral:ncRNA from 1 species